UUCAUUGGAGGCUUUGUCGAUGUGCUACCCCUUCCUACAAGCAUUGUUGGUAGUUAAUUUCCAUGUCGUGUUGUGGGUAGCAAUAGGUGAGGUGAGAAAUCGCCAUAUGAAAUCUUAGCCUGACUUUGCACUGGCGUCAACAAUUUCCAUCCGUUGUUUUCUCAUCUGAUUUGUUUUGAUUUGGUUUCCUCUCCCCCUCACGCAGCUCCUCAAAAUUCUGGUGCAUGUGGCGGCUGAGAUUUUGAUUCUCGCAUGUCUCGCCGAGGCUGCGGGGCUGUUGCGGCCGGGCUAGGAUGGAAGCUCCGGGAGGGGUGCGUACAUAGGGGCUUGAGUAUCAUCUGUUCUUAGUUCUUUCAAGCCUGAUUUGGGACAUCUGGGAUUUUGACUUUGAGAGCGUUGGGCUUCUGAAUUUGCACGAGUUAGCAUUGACCAAACUGUGGCGAAACAGUC
rnacentral:lncRNA from 1 species